GAUGAACGCUGGCGGCGCGCCUAACACAUGCAAGUCGAACGAUUAAAGCACCUUCGGGUGUGUAUAAAGUGGCGAACGGCUGAGUAACACGUGGGCAACCUGCCCCUUUCAUUGGGAUAGCCACGGGAAACCGUGGAUAAUACCGAAUACUUCGAGACUUCCGCAUGGAAGACUCGAGAAAGCUCCGGCGGAGAGGGGUGGGCCCGCGGCCUGUUAGCUUGUUGGUGGGGUAACGGCCUACCAAGGCAAUGAUGGGUAGCUGGGUUGAGAGACCGACCAGCCAGAUUGGGACUGAGACACGGCCCAGACUCCUACGGGAGGCAGCAGUGGGGAAUCUUGCACAAUGGGCGAAAGCCUGAUGCAGCGACGCCGCGUGCGGGAUGAAGGCCUUCGGGUUGUAAACCGCUUUCAGCAGGGACGAGGCGAAAGUGACGGUACCUGCAGAAGAAGCCCCGGCUAACUACGUG
rnacentral:rRNA from 1 species